GGUGAAGUAGCUCAGCAGUUAAAAGCACUGACUUCUCAUCUAGAGGCCCUGAGUUCAAUUCCCAGCAACCCCA
rnacentral:tRNA from 1 species